CUCACUCUCACUCUCACUCUCACUCUCACUCUCACUCUCACCACACAAAAACUGGACGCGUUGGAGAAGAAAAUGAACAAAAUGUUACGCCGCCUUCGCGGUAACAUGUAUAAAAAUAACUGGAGGAGAGGCGAAAGGGAAGGUGGAAGGGGAAGGAGAAGAGGAGGAAGAAGAGGUGGAAGAAGAGGCGGAGGAUGGGGUGAACGGGGGGAGGAAAUGUUUUUCAACGGAGUUAGACAAAAAAGAAAUUUUAAUAAAUAAAAAAUUUUUUAAAUUAA